GAUGAACGCUGGCGGCGUGCCUAAUACAUGCAAGUCGAGCGAAGCGGGGACGGGUGAGUAACACGUGGCUAACCUCCUAUAAGACUGGGAUAACUUCGGGAAACCGGAGCUAAACCGGAUACUUAUCGAUGGAUCCGCGCUGCAUUAGCUAGUUGGUAAGGUAACGGCUUACCAAGGCAACGAUGCAUAGCCGACCUGAGAGUGUGAUCGGCCACACCGUAACUGAGACACGGGCCAGACUCCUACGGGAGGCAGCAGUAGUGAGUCUUCCGCAAUCGGCGAAAGCCUGACGGACCAACGCCGCUUGUUUGAUGAAGGUCUUCGGAUCGUAAAACUCUGUUAUCAGGGAAGCGGUACCUACUCAGAAAGCCACGGCUAACUACGUGCCAGCAGCCGCGGUAAUUC
rnacentral:rRNA from 1 species